rnacentral:misc_RNA from 1 species
UUGUGGAGAAGGACGCCGAAGGUGGGGCUGAUGACUGGGGUGAAGUCGUAACAAGGUAGCCGUACCGGAAGGUGCGGCUGGAUCACCUCCUAACAGGGAGACAAUAAAUUGAUUGUGAUGUCUAAGUUUUUUAUUCUUAGGCCGCAAUCCUGUCACCUUAAGGUCGAUCGGUACCUCAGAUUUUAGAAUUUAUUUUAUAAUUUAUUCUUUUAUUUCAGUUCCUAAACUUGUCUAGGUCACACCCAACAAAGGCUUCUCCUGGGCCAUUAGCUCAGGUGGUUAGAGCGCACCCCUGAUAAGGGUGAGGUCCCUGGUUCAAGUCCAGGAUGGCCCAUUCGUUGUUGGGGGUAUAGCUCAGUUGGUAGAGCGCCUGCUUUGCAAGCAGGAUGUCAGCGGUUCGAGUCCGCUUACCUCCACUGAUAACUAUCCUGAUAACUAAUUUCUGGAGAAAUACUUGUAGAUGUGCCUUAGAAUUGUUUAUUGAAAAGAACCUAGCUUCUUAUCAUCUUUUAUAUAGUUGAUAACACGCUGGGCUCCCAUGAAUCAAUUUCAUGAGAUUUCAGUAGAACCUUGAAAACUGCAUAGAUUAGAAAGAAUAAAGCAUCUCAUGGAUGCAUAAUUCUGUUUUUAUAAUUUAGCCUUAAAACUAAAUUAUUAAUACAAGAAUUCAUGUUUAAUUCUUGAGUAAAAGCCGAGCACAAUUGAUUUUUUGAUUGUAUUAAGGUCAAGCUAAAA